CGCUGCUAACAUAACAAGUUUCACAUUUGCACUUCAAUGAGAGUUUAGUUUCUUCAUACAACCACUUUAUAUCCAGAAACUGGACAGAUACUGUGCAGAAGGCACAUAAAAAAAAAAACAAAAACGUAUAUUGCCCUUUCACCUGCCAGAGAAUAGCUGGACUAACAACCCCACCAAGUGGUCAGGGAACUGGAGGGUUGCCAGUUCAGGACCUGCUGGACAGAGUGUCUACAGAAUGUGACCUGGUAGCUGCAGAGGUGCCACUUCGCCUCCUCAGCACUGAUGCUCAUCUUACAAGAGAUCUACACUCCCAGCGGACCGAGGCACUGCGUCCUUCUCUCUGGAAGCAUGCGAGUGAUUUACAGUCACAAAACUGAACGAUAUGUCUGUGCUGUCAUGAAAGCACAGGAAUGACAUUUUUGGCUGGCCUGCAUCAUCGACGACAGAUUAUGGAAAAGAAUGUGGUCGCAAAAGAUCAUCACGUUAUCCAGAAUCUGUGCUGCAGAAGGUGCUUCAAACUAGAAAAUUUAAGAAGUUACAACCAGAAGAGGAUUCAACGCAGGAUUAUCCAGAGGCCUCUUCAGGACUCUCUCGAGCACCUUUACACAUUAAAGUUCAUGAGUGGGCACACAGGGAGCUCUUCAAAGCAGUUCUUCCAAGUCAGGGCACUCACAGGAGGCAUAUCAAAAAACUGAGAGGUCAAAAUCGAUGCAGCAGAGAUGCCCUGACUUUUAAUCCCGAGAAUGGGUCAUGCCAUGACAUUUUUGAUAUAUUCCCAUAAUGCAACCAACUGCUUUUUGUUGGCCCCUUGCUGCCUGACACUGCAAACAUCCACAUCCACAGUUUGUUUUCUCCAAACCCUAAUCCAGAUAAUUACUAUUCUCAGGCUUUAGAAAAUCUUGCCCCCGAGACACAAGACACGAUACAGCUCUUCACAGGCUGACUCCCCUUCCUGGGAUCAACUGAGCCGUAUGAUGAUAAUCAGUAGAGAUCACUUUUAAAGCGUGUAAGUAUCGUAUGCAAUACAUUGCAUACGAUACUGUAAACUUUGCCUCAGGAGACACAACAGCACACACAUACAGCCACUGUUAUCUCCCUGCUCUCUUCUGUCAUGAGUCUUUACUAAAGACGUUCCCAUUCAAAAAGAAGUUUAAACUUAGACCCUUUGACUCGUCUCAAAAUAAAGAAACACUCAGAAAAAAGUCCAAAUUUAUUCUGUAUGGUUAAACAAUCUUCCCAAAAAUAUUUUGUAUAUUUUGGUAUCCAUUUGACGCCGUUAACCACAUGCUUAUAGAUCCAGAUUGUAGUUUAAAUGCUGCUGCAAUUUGUGGGCUGUCAUGGUUUGGAUUAUUAGUUCAGCGACAUCCUGUAUUUUAUUUUGUAGAUUAUAUCCUCGUGUUAUUUUCCACUUGCCGUCUUUGUCUCACCUGUUUUUCUGUGUACACCUGUGUUUCAUUUGUUCAUUGUGCCCUUCUGUGUUUUCGUUUCACAUUAUUGGUUCAUCUGUGUCACCAGUGUGUUCCCAGUGCUUCAUUUUUUUAUACUUCAUUUAGCGUUAGUGUUUUUGUACUCUAUCGGUUCUCAGAUUUGUCCAUUCCUUCUUCUUUCGUUGCUGCCAGUUUUUUGUUUGUUUUUUUUUUCUGAAUUACAGCUUUAUUAAGCUUUC